UGAUCGUUAAUUGUUUCUCUAUUUAAUUUAGUAAUUUCUUUGUGAUUGAAAUUUUUACUUUUUCGUGUUGAUCAUCUCUCUCUCUCUCUACCUCUCUUAAGUUGGAAGAGUAUUUUGGUAAAUUGGUUUGGAGAUUCCAAGGUUUCACUUAAUUGUUUUAAUUAAAUUCUUCAGUUUUUUGUUUCUUUUCUCUUCCCUUGGAUUAUAUUUUUAUAUUAUCAUUUGUUAACAUUUACUUUUGACAUGGCGACAUAUCUAACCAAGCGAAAAGUGUUAACAAUUCUAUUUAGGAUUAUUUUCUCAAAGUUGAUCAUCAUCCAUUCACAUUUCUCUUCCCACCCACAACCAUUUCUCUCUCUCCCUCUCUCUCUUACUAUUCACAUUUAACCUUCUAGAAUGCUACUAUGGUUACCAGAACUGGAGAGAGCCAUAAAAUAAGCGUCCAAGUUGCACAGAAUCAUUUUAGUCACUCAAUUUCUCCCUGUUGAUAAACUACGAUCAGAUGAGAAUCACGGAAAAUAUUGAUAACUUGAGGUUAUCACUUUAUCACCUUUACCAAUUAACAGUUCCCUAAGCAAUCAUAAGUAAAUCCCUUUGGUGGUCAUUCCCUAGUCAUGAAAUAUUUCACUCUACUCUCAAUAAUAUUCAUCAUCAAUCAGUGUGAUCUUUUAGCAUCAAAGUCAACAUCAUCCUCAUCAUUUUCUGUAUCAACAAUAACAAUAACAACCAAUGACUUACUUUUAGGUAACUCUACAAGUAGUUCUGAUGAUAGGAACGAAACUUCAAUUCCAAUCGUUCGUGUCAAACGUAAAGGUACCGGGGGACGUGCUGGCGGUGGUAGAGCGGGUGGAGGCCGAGCGGGAGUGGGCGCUGCUCGAGGAUUAGCUGGUAGACAGGCGGGUCGAGCCGGUAGUCGUAAUAAUUACUCUCAAAGAGUUAAAUCAUCUCAUCACUUAAUCUACUCAUCAUGGUUCAUAUCAAUUGGAUUAUUAUUUAUUCUUAAUCAUCAUCAGCAUCCGAAUAAUUUUGUGAAAUUGUUUUUAAAAAACAACAACAAUUAACUCAAUUGUUUUUUUUGUUCAACAAAAAACUUUCAGGUUGUGACACUAAUUAAAUCAAGCAGUUUAGAUGGCAAAAGUUUCAAAAUCCCUUUGAUAAUUUACAAUUAAUUGUAUCGGUUAUUAUAAUUUUUUUCAUUCUAUUUUAAAUUCUUCUUGAAAUUUAUCAAUAAUUUAAUUUUAAUCAUCAUUAUUGGCAUU